rnacentral:rRNA from 1 species
GACGAACGCUGGCGGCGUGCCUAAUACAUGCAAGUCGAGCGGAGAUUUCAGAAGUGCUUGCACUUCUGGGAUUUCAGCGGCGGACGGGUGAGUAACACGUAGGUAACCUGCCUGUAAGACUGGGAUAACUAUCGGAAACGGUAGCUAAUACCGGAUAAUUUGUUCUUCACAUGAAGAGAUACUGAAAGGCGGAGCAAUCUGCCACUUAUAGAUGGACCUGCGGCGCAUUAGCUAGUUGGUGAGGUAACGGCUCACCAAGGCGACGAUGCGUAGCCGACCUGAGAGGGUGAACGGCCACACUGGGACUGAGACACGGCCCAGACUCCUACGGGUGGCUG